rnacentral:SRP_RNA from 1 species
GUUUGGGUCCUGCGCAAUAAGACACCAUGAACCUUGUCAGGUCCGGAAGGAAGCAGCAAUAAGUGGAGGCUCUUAUGUGCCGCAGCUAAGCCUUCUCCAU